rnacentral:tRNA from 1 species
GCCUGGGUGGCUCAGUCAUUGAGCGUCUGCCUUUAGCUCAGGUCAUGAUCCCAGGGUCCUGGGAUCGAAUCCUGCCUCAGGCU